UACGUAGGGGGCAAGCGUUGUCCGGAUUUAUUGGGCGUAAAGAGCGUGUAGGCGGCCUGACAGGUCUGCUGUGAAAACUCGAGGCUCAACCUCGAGAUGUCGGCGGAAACCGUCUGGCUAGAGUCCGGAAGAGGAGAGUGGAAUUCCUGGUGUAGCGGUGAAAUGCGCAGAUAUCAGGAAGAACACCUAUGGCGAAGGCAGCUCUCUGGGACGGUACUGACGCUGAGACGCGAAAGCGUGGGGAGCGAACAGG
rnacentral:rRNA from 4 species